AUUGAACGCUGGCGGCAUGCUUUACACAUGCAAGUCGAACGGUAACAGGGUGCUUGCACCGCUGACGAGUGGCGAACGGGUGAGUAAUGCGUCGGAACGUGCCGAGUGGUGGGGGAUAACGCAGCGAAAGUUGUGCUAAUACCGCAUACGAUCUGUGGAUGAAAGCGGGGGACCUUCGGGCCUCGCGCGAUUGGAGCGGCCGAUGUCAGAUUAGGUAGUUGGUGGGGUAAAGGCUCACCAAGCCGACGAUCUGUAGCUGGUCUGAGAGGACGACCAGCCACACUGGGACUGAGACACGGCCCAGACUCCUACGGGAGGCAGCAGUGGGGAAUUUUGGACAAUGGGCGCAAGCCUGAUCCAGCAAUGCCGCGUGCAGGAAGAAGGCCUUCGGGUUGUAAACUGCUUUUGUACGGAGCGAAAAGGCUCCCUCUAAUACAGGGGGCUCAUGACGGUACCGUAAGAAUAAGCACCGGCUAACUACGUGCCAGCAGCCGCAGUAACAC
rnacentral:rRNA from 1 species